rnacentral:rRNA from 1 species
UCAUCUCCGGGGGUAGAGCACUGUUUCGGCUAGGGGGCCAUCCCGGCUUACCAACCCGAUGCAAACUGCGAAUACCGGAGAAUGUUAUCACGGGAGACACACGGCGGGUGCUAACGUCCGUCGUGAAGAGGGAAACAACCCAGACCGCCAGCUAAGGUCCCAAAGUCAUGGUUAAGUGGGAAACGAUGUGGGAAGGCCCAGACAGCCAGGAUGUUGGCUUAGAAGCAGCCAUCAUUUAAAGAAAGCGUAAUAGCUCACUGGUCGAGUCGGCCUGCGCGGAAGAUGUAACGGGGCUAAACCAUGCACCGAAGCUGCGGCAGCGACACUUUAGUGUUGUUGGGUAGGGGAGCGUUCUGUAAGCCGUUGAAGGUGUCCUGUGAGGGGUGCUGGAGGUAUCAGAAGUGCGAAUGCUGACAUAAGUAACGAUAAAGCGGGUGAAAAGCCCGCUCGCCGGAAGACCAAGGGUUCCUGUCCAACGUUAAUCGGGGCAGGGUGAGUCGACCCCUAAGGCGAGGCCGAAAGGCGUAGUCGAUGGGAAACGGGUUAAUAUUCCCGUACUUGGUGUUACUGCGAAGGGGGGACGGAGAAGGCUAUGUUGGCCGGGCGACGGUUGUCCCGGUUUAAGCGUGUAGGUGUGUGUUCCAGGUAAAUCCGGUUCACUUUAACACUGAGGCGUGAUGACGAGGCACCACGGUGCUGAAGCAACAAAUGCCCUGCUUCCAGGAAAAGCCUCUAAGCAUCAGGUAACAUCAAAUCGUACCCCAAACCGACACAGGUGGUCAGGUAGAGAAUACCAAGGCGCUUGAGAGAACUCGGGUGAAGGAACUAGGCAAAAUGGUGCCGUAACUUCGGGAGAAGGCACGCUGACACGUAGGUGAAGUGAUUUACUCAUGGAGCUGAAGUCAGUCGAAGAUACCAGCUGGCUGCAACUGUUUAUUAAAAACACAGCACUGUGCAAACACGAAAGUGGACGUAUACGGUGUGACGCCUGCCCGGUGCCGGAAGGUUAAUUGAUGGGGUCAGCGCAAGCGAAGCUCCUGAUCGAAGCCCCGGUAAACGGCGGCCGUAACUAUAACGGUCCUAAGGUAGCGAAAUUCCUUGUCGGGUAAGUUCCGACCUGCACGAAUGGCGUAAUGAUGGCCAGGCUGUCUCCACCCGAGACUCAGUGAAAUUGAACUCGCUGUGAAGAUGCAGUGUACCCGCGGCAAGACGGAAAGACCCCGUGAACCUUUACUAUAGCUUGACACUGAACAUUGAGCCUUGAUGUGUAGGAUAGGUGGGAGGCUUUGAAGCGUGGACGCCAGUCUGCGUGGAGCCGACCUUGAAAUACCACCCUUUAAUGUUUGAUGUUCUAACGUGGACCCGUAAUCCGGGUUGCGGACAGUGUCUGGUGGGUAGUUUGACUGGGGCGGUCUCCUCCUAAAGAGUAACGGAGGAGCACGAAGGUUGGCUAAUCCUGGUCGGACAUCAGGAGGUUAGUGCAAUGGCAUAAGCCAGCUUGACUGCGAGCGUGACGGCGCGAGCAGGUGCGAAAGCAGGUCAUAGUGAUCCGGUGGUUCUGAAUGGAAGGGCCAUCGCUCAACGGAUAAAAGGUACUCCGGGGAUAACAGGCUGAUACCGCCCAAGAGUUCAUAUCGACGGCGGUGUUUGGCACCUCGAUGUCGGCUCAUCACAUCCUGGGGCUGAAGUAGGUCCCAAGGGUAUGGCUGUUCGCCAUUUAAAGUGGUACGCGAGCUGGGUUUAGAACGUCGUGAGACAGUUCGGUCCCUAUCUGCCGUGGGCGCUGGAAGACUGAGGGGGGCUGCUCCUAGUACGAGAGGACCGGAGUGGACGCAUCACUGGUGUUCGGGUUGUCAUGCCAAUGGCACUGCCCGGUAGCUAAAUGCGGAAAAGAUAAGUGCUGAAAGCAUCUAAGCACGAAACUUGCCCC